GCUAGUAUUGGACAUGUUUCAUGCUGUCCGGAGACAAAGACAAGCAAUCACGUGUUAUGAGAAUAUCCAAGAAGAUGCCGACAUCAGAAGCAGCUGAUCAGUCAUGUAAGUUAAAUGUUCGCUAUGUCAGACUUUAUUUGGCAAAGACGUUUCUAUAAUACAUUUAGGGUAUCAACUCUUUUUGGACAAAGGCAAAAAUACACCUGAAGCGAGCAUAAAAACUUUUUUCGCAAUUGAAGUUUUAUCGAAUUUUCCUUUUUCAUACAGCUUUUCUAAUGCGAUGCAACAAAAUGCGAAUAAAAAUAUGUGCAUGGAAACACGGCUAGUGUCGCAUCCAAGUCUGAA